rnacentral:misc_RNA from 1 species
GGGGGGGGGCGCGAGCGCUAGUCCCUUUGCUAGCAAGCUUUAAAAUUUUUUUAUUAAGAUUAUCCUUCUGUUUUUAACCUGGCCAGAUUGAGCAGUUCACUGGUUAGCCAGCUAGUUCAUAAAUGUUAAACCUAGUUUUCAAAAAAAAGAUUUUUUUACCUAAACCAGACUGGCCGCUUGUUUGGUUCCCGGUUAGGCCAGGCCAGUUCUAACAACCAUGGAUACAACUUCACCUUAAUACAACGGUAACAGGUUCCAGGAGUAGAGAAUCAAGUAAGCCAUACAUCACAAACAGAGAUUGCACAAGGGUUUGGGUAAUAAUUUCCUUUAAUCUUAUAAGUACAAUUAACAGCUUCCAAAUAGCUGAAAUAAGGAAAAAUACAAAAUAGUGAUAUCGAAAUAUGAAGACUGCUUAGGCCUGCCAAAAUAUUCCAGAAUUGUGCAAUGUGAAGGAAUAUAUCAUUCUCUGCUCAGUUCUGAGAGCUUCAAC